rnacentral:lncRNA from 1 species
UGUCACCUUUUCUAUAUUAUUACUCAAUUAAGUUAUCAUGUAUAAAAUGGAGAAAUUUCAUGAAAAUAUUUUAUCUAAGAUGAUAACACUGGAUAUAUAGCGAUAGUGAAAAGAAAGCUCUAAACAAAAAGCAUGACGGAAUGUUCCGGAUCAUUUGUGUGAUUAUUGGGCAUUAUAUUGCUUAAAAAAACAGAAAUUAAAAAAAACACUAAGAAUUUACUUUAUGAUCUCUAUUGUGAAACUCAUAGUUAGGUCCUGAAAUACCAAUCAUGUGGCUGACAUUAUCAACUUUUGUUAGCCAAGCUUUUUGCAAAAAACUUGGGAGGGACAACUCUUUAUCGACUGAUGGAACAUUGGAUCAAAGUGAUAAAUGCAUGAAGUACUAGAUAUUCUAUGGGAACCUGAUAGGCUAGAGGGUCU